CUUUGAAGAAUAUGCAGAAUGUGAAAGUACCACACUUCUGAAGGCAACGAUGUUUGGUUCCUUGCCCAAGGAUAGAAGCAGAUAUCAAGGGAGCCUGGGAGUGUUUGUGACCCCUCCAGCCAGCACUAAUGGUAAUGAGGUUAUGUACCAAAUGGAGAUGUAUGGAAAGCUAAAAGAGGACAUGCUAAGGAAGAGGACUCAAAAAAUGAUAAAGUGAUGUUUUGUACUCACUACAAGUCAACAAAGUAUGAAUUACACCGACAGGUAUGGUCAAAUAUUUGAUUUAAACUUCACGUAAUACAGGUAACCCAGUAAUGGGGAAAUGCUGCAAAAACAACUUGCAGGAAGAUCUCUACUUCUCUUCAGGAGAUACUUGAAUACUUCCCAUUUCAAAAUUGAAGAUGACUUAGAUGCUACUUGCCAUACAGAAGAAAUUGAGGCUGUGAAAAUGUUAUCAGCUCCAUUUAUGAUUAAGUGACUGAGAAUAAAACCAGUGAACGGUAUAUAAAAGAACUUUGGUUUAAAGGUGACGACGUGGACAUUAUCAACUCACAUGAAGCACAAUGAGAUUCACAAAUGACUAGAAAAUUCCAUAACCCUCCAAACCAAUCCUUGUAAUCAUAGGACACCUAGGGGAGCAGGACAGUCAACAGGUACAUCCACAACUUUGGUGAAGUCUGUUGGCAGGGACUCUGACUUUCUUGAAAAAGUAGGAUGCUUUGAGGGCCUGUGAUUGGUUUUUCAAGUCAAGUGAUUAUAAGAAAAUAUUGUUUAUAACUAUGGAUGGGAUGAAAUCUUUAAUCUAACUUAAGAGCAAUCACCAAAAUCCUCUCCAUACCUACUGGAUGACCUACAUGACUUUAUACAGCUCUCAAUAGGCACUCAUUGACAUGUGAAUUUGAUAUUCUCAUGGAGGCAAAAAUAAUCUGAGAGUAAGGUGAGAGUACUCAGAUUGCAUUGAAAGGUAUAAUAAUGCGGAAAUUCUGUAGGAUGUUUUCUUAAAGCUAAUUUUGACCAGGGACGAAAAUGUUUAGAGUGUUGGUAAUCUAGUAUAGCUUAUAGCCCUUAAUAAAAGGAU